rnacentral:lncRNA from 1 species
GUCGUUUGUUUACAACUUAGACGGCGGAAUUUUUUUCUAAGACGUAAUAAAUUAUUCACCACGACGGUUUCUUCACCGUCGUUUAAAUUCUUUUCAGACGAUGUUUUAUUCCUUAAACCGUCGUUUUUAUUGAAUUACCACGUUAUUUUUUUUAUUUCUUUAAACAGGUUAUUCAAGUUGUUGAUUAUUCAAAUAUGGAGGCGCCAUCUUCUUUAAAA